CCCAGUUUUACAUGCAUCCAGCCCCCCAUUUUCUCACGAGCAGCCAGAGAGGAGCCACCAGCUCCAUCCUAAUCCCCCGCCACAUGUGGCCGGUCCUGGGAUGGAGGUUGGGCUGCCGGGGAGCAUGAGUCGAAUGGGCUGUUUUCUGUCCUGGCAGUGGGAACCUGAAAAUGGAGUGCUUGAGGAUUUUGGAGCAGAGGAGAGGGGCUCUUUCGGUGCUGACCUGCCUGGAGCUCACUGAGGUGAAGACCCGCGUGCUGUACGAGGCCGUUCCUGCAGGCAGCGGGGUGCCGGCUCUGAAGGACGUGGCCACGGUGAAGACAAGGCUGCAGAGGGUGGCCGAGGAGCUCUCCCAGUGCUCCCACAGCAUCUUUGACUUUCAAGGGGCGCUGGACGGCAUUUUGACCGAACUGGUGAAGCACGGGCAACAAGUGCAUGAGGACAAGAGGUUUGUAGUAGAGCCAGCUUUACCGAAAUGCCUGCCAACGCUCUGCUGUUCUCAGCUGGAUUGAGCAGACAUCGCCGCGGGCUCCCGAACAGCCAGGCACAGCCCUUCAUUGCAAACAGCUUUUAACAGCCCUGUGCACGCACGUGUAACAUUGCGUGAUGUCCCUGUGCGCAGACAUGGGUAGCCGCAGUGUCCCCUCGUUACAGCGUGUUCAGAUUUCACCCCAAAGCGCUAAUUUCACCCCAACCUCAUACCCUUCCUCUUGCGGGGUCUCACGUCUCCUUCCCUGUCCCGAUUUCAGCAUCCGGCAGAUCGAGUGCUGCCUGGAGAAGAUGCAGCUGAUCUACAAGCAGUUCAAGAAGGCCAGGACGUGUCUGCGUAAGUGAUGGGGACGGCAGCCCUGGGGGAAAGAGGCACGGGGCUGCCGCAGGAACAUCCCUGUGGAAAAUUUAAUUAUUUCAGUUUGCUGGGUUUAGCAGUUAUUUCUGUGCCAUAACAGUAGUCCCAGGGGCUGCAGCCCUGAAAAGCC
rnacentral:lncRNA from 1 species